rnacentral:rRNA from 1 species
GAUGAACGCUGGCGGCGUGCCUAAUACAUGCAAGUCGAGCGAACGGACGAUAAGCUUGCUUCUCUGAUGUUAGCGGCGGACGGGUGAGUAACACGUGGAUAACCUACCUAUAAGACUGGGAUAACUUCGGGAAACCGGAGCUAAUACCCGAUAAUAUUUUGAACCUCAUGGUUCAAAAGUGAAAGACGGUCUUGCUGUCACUUAUAGAUGGAUCCGCGCUGCAUUAGCUAGUUGGUAAGGUAACGGCUUACCAAGGCAACGAUGCAUAGCCGACCUGAGAGGGUGAUCGCCCACACUGGAACUGAGACACGGUCCAGACUCCUACGGGAGGCAGCAGUAGGGAAUCUUCCGCAAUGGGCGAAGGCCUGACGGAGCAACGCCGCGUGAGUGAUGAAGGUCUUCGGAUCGUAAACCUCUGUUAUUAGGGAAGAACAUUUGUGUAAGUAACUGUGCACAUCUUGACGGUACCUAAUCAGAAAGCCACGGCUAACUACGUG